AGCUCUUGGCAUAAUGGUUAAAGUGUUGGCUUGACAGUCACUGGACCUGGGUUCAAAUCCCAGUCAGAGUUA
rnacentral:tRNA from 1 species